AUGUGUGAAAUGUUGAAUCAAUUUCAAUUUUUCGUAUUUUAUUUCGAAAGAGAUGCUUGAACUUCCAGAAAUGCAUAUUAACAACUAGAGUUUGACUAGUGUAUCAACUACGAUAAGUUUGACAUAAUUGUCCGCUGAGUAAGUUCAAUUACGUGCUUUAUAAUUUUUGAAUUAUCGGCAGCAUACGCGGCUGUCAUUUGUCUUUACUGACGCUUUCAUCGGUGUACGGUGGGCUAUGUGUUCAACUUGAUAGUUGAAACUUUAUUAGAAAUUUAUGAAGAUUAUUUUAAAGAAGAAACGGAUAGUCGCAUUGAAACAUCAUCAAAAACUCCCAAUGAAAGUUUCAUGAGAAAAGAAAUGUGGGGGAAAAUGGUUACUGCGUUUUUUGUCUGUGAAUUGGGGAAAACGAACUUUUCUACCCAUGAAACACUUCUUGGAUGCAUGGAUUACGAUACCCGAUUUCUGGAAAGAAUGGAAUAUUUCUGAAUGAUUUGAGUCCAAGAUAUUUUGAACGUCGGUGGAAUAUCGGAAAGCUGCCUUGUAUGCAGAUACGAAUGGGGAAUAAUGGAUACCCCUUACUGAGUGGAGUCUUCUCAAUGCCAUGUUGUGGAAAUACAGAUCUUAUGGGCUACAAGGAUGCUCGAAAAAAGAUGGAUAUCCUCAAAUGCAAGCUUGAGUGGGUGCAACUUAGCAAAAGAUGGCUUUUGUUCCAUUAAACUCAAAUCCAGAUCAAGCUUCAAAUCGGCAAGUUCGAUUCCGACUUAGCUUAAUAUCAAUAUUUAAUCACAAGUAAAGUCUUUGAAAUUAAAAUUGAUCUGUAAUGUAAUAUGCAAUACAUUCUAUCUGAAAUAUAUUUACCAACCAUUUAAAGUCAUUAUACUGUAGUUAAAAAUCUUGAUGUUAACUUGCAAAAGUUUAAUUUUCGACACUUUAAAUUAAAACGAACCAUAACUUGCACUUGAAAAGUGCAGAUUUCAAAAUUUUAUUACUGAAGAAACCUUUAUUUAGAGUUGAUUCAAAAAAUGAUCAUGGAUAUAGAAACAGAUCAACAUAUUCGCUUGAUCACCAAACAUAAAAAUUAAAAAUCACGAAAGAAUACAUAUUGCAUGCUUCCACUCGCACACAUUACAUCAAACUUUGCUAAUUAAGUUUUAAGUCGACUAAAUAUGGCUAUUUGUUGGUUCUGAUGUUCCCACGAAUUGUACUAUAAAUGGACAUAAAAGUAACUUAUCUUCCUUGCUUGGCAUUUUUUGUUGGUUACUAUUAGCAGUUUGAAAGUUUGAUCAUUACUCAUCACUAGAAGGCAGCUCCUAUUCUAGGCGAUUAUCCUUUGGAAUAAUCCAGUGUGAUCGAAUAAUGUAUCUGCAGAUGAGCAGAUGCGUCUUUAUUGAAUGCAGUUGGCGAUUUCGAUAAAUUUAUUCUUGAAUUGCUUAGUUUUGAAUCUCUUCGAUUAUUUAGAUUGGAAUACACAGGUUCAUAAUAAGCUUCAUUCAAUAAAAACUUCUGCCUAUUUGUGGCCUGCACUGCGUGUGAGAGCCGGCGUCCUGGCAUAGGGGUAGCACGUCUUUCUCGUGUCCUGGGUACGAGUCCCGGUUCGUUACCAUGGUUGUUACCGUGUCCUAUCUAUGAGGUGUGUGAAUGUGCCCCCCUGUAAAAAGGGGUUGUGCAAGCGAAUGUGUUUCAUCUUUAUAUGAGCUAGAAGUCAGACUUCUGCCCUCGGGUGCUCAGGGGUCUUUACCCUCAAACUACUGCACCCCUUUCCGUGUAACGCGGACACGACAUCGUCAUCAUUACAUAUGUGAGCAAUUGAUGCAAAACUGACUAGUCUUCACAUAGGAUACACCCGUCUUACUCACAAUUUAUUGUUCGGAAAUGAAACACCGAUAUGUCCGACGCGUGAAACUGUAAAAUCUACACAGCCCAUUUUAAUAUAAAGCCAAUCAUUUAAUUAUCAUCGCAAUCCUUUGUUUUCUUCGUCAUCAUUAACGCUUUUAGACUUUGUAGGUGAAUAUCCUCACAAAUUUUCGCUUCUUGAAGAUCAUUGGUUUUUAUUCUAUUUAGAUUUUAUUGCCUUUCUAAAUCGUCUCUGCUCCAAUUUCUUAUUUACUUGUAUAUUUUGCACAAUGAAUUUUAAAAAUAUUAGGAAAACCAGUUAAAUUUUUAUCUGGCUUUUAAGUUGCUAUUCAAAUGAUUUUAACCCUUUGCCUGGCGCAGAUUAACCAGGACUUGGCUCUUGCGCCAAUAAAAUCCCUCCAACCAACUCUUCGAUUAUUUAAGGCACUGGACAAUUAAAACUGACUCUUUUGCCAUUAAAGUUAAUAUUUUAAUUUGCUUAGAGACGGGCUUGGGUGGAUAUCUUCCCUACAUAUCAGGAAUGCUUUUGCCUACUCAAAAGAUUGGCGAUUUCGGAAACUCAAGAUUCAGGAAUGCGCAUUCAUAAAAUCUUCAUAGAGCAUCUUCGUAUAUCUUCCUAGUAUUAAUUGGAUCAAAAUUGUCUUCAAUUUAAAUUGGACUUCUAGAUUUUAUACCUUUGCGUGCAUUUUCGUUUUUACUGAUUUCUAGUGCAUCCUGAAACGGCUAAUGGAGCCUUUUUAUGUUGAGUCGACUUACGAAAUUUUGGGCCGCAGUUCGAACAGUGCAGUCAGUUCAGUCAUUUUCGAAUAGCGCCUUUGCAAAAAUAUUUGACAUUAUAUAACUGAUUUCACGAUUCUUACCAUAGUCUUCUCUAGUUUCAUGUAAGCAAUGAUCAAGGGGCAAAUUCCAUCUCUUGAAUAUAUUAAAGCCAUUUUAACUUUAAUGAGUAAUAUCUUGGAUUCCGUUUUUUGUUUGCUUGACUCAUUACCGUAUUGAAUGUACUCAUCUCUUCGUUUUCUUUUUCGACCUAUUAGAGAAGAAUGUACAACUUUUCUCUUAUUGAAUAAAGUUAACAUUAUUAUCACGGCCUAUUAAUCUAUGCCUAGGAUGGCCUCUAAUUACAAUAAGGAAGUUUCAUGGCUCCUUCACAAAGGCGUGCAAAACUUGUACAUCGAAUUGCACAAUUUGUUAUUUAAACAGAUAUCUAAGCCAUCGGGAAGAUAUCGUGGACACACUUAAGCAUCUCAAAUGUCCUUUACGUACUUGUAUGGAAUGAAAUCGUCAAGGCUCCAAAUAGGAGGUCUUGUUCAAUUGGAAGAUUAAAUUCGUUCUCAAGGAUUUAAGACUAGAGGAUUAAGGAUUAAGACGUUUAUCAUCAGUGUUUACGGCGAAAGUAAUGUAAUUUGCACUUGGAGACGUAAAGUUAAUUUAAUUUUAGUUUUGAAUGAUUCGGGUUAAUUUUAAAAUUCAUAAAUUCAUCU